rnacentral:rRNA from 1 species
AAAUAGUAUUUAUUGUAGAUUUUUUAUAAGUAAAUGGAAACAAUUUAAUUAUUUAGGAUUGUUAUUGUACCUUUUGCAUAAUGGUUUUGCUAUAAUAUAAGUAAAUAAUUGUUCCCGAACAGAGAAGAUCUAUAUUAUUCCGGGCCUUGUGUGGCAUUACGAAUAUAUUGAGAAUAAUAUAGGGGCGAAAAACCUCCAAUUCUCUAGAUAGCUGGAUUUCUUAGAAACGUAUUUAGUACGGAAAACAUUUUCAUUAUGGUUAGAUAGUGGGUAGAAAGUAUUUUUAAUUUUUUUUGUUACUUCUAGGGAUAAUACCUCUUGUAAGGCGUUGAGAAUAUUACUAAUUUUAUUAAUAAUCUUUUUAUUAUAAGAAUGAAAGCAAUAAUUAUAUUGUUUUUUAAAAAUGCGGAAAUGAGUAGUAUAAUAAGUAAGUUUAAGGAACUCGGCAAAAUGUUCCCUCAACUGUUUAUCAAAAACAUAGCCCUAAGAAAAUAUUUAGGGUGAGCCCUGCCCGGUGACGUGAAGUUUAACGGCCGCAGUACCUUGACUGUGCUAAGGUAGCGUAAUCAGUUGGCUUUUAAAUGGAGUCUAGUAUGAACGGGUUUAUGGGGGAAAGCUGUCUCAAACUUAAAGUUCGAAUUUAUUAAUAAGGUGAAAAUACCUUUAAUGAAAAAAAAGACGAGAAGACCCUUAGAGCUUUGAAUAAAUUGUAUAUUGUACAAUAUUUUUUUGUUGGGGCGACAUGGAGACAAAUAACUCUCCUAAAUGUAUUUUACUUGCCGACUUUUUGUAAGUAAGAAUAAGCUACCUUAGGGAUAACAGCAUUAUUUUUUAUAAAGCUUAUGACCUCGAUGUUGGACUAGGGACUUUAUGGCUAGCCGUCAAAAUAGCAUGUUCUGUUCGAACAAGUGACCCUACAUGAUCUGAGUUCAGACCGGCGCAAGCCAGGUCAGAUUCUAUCUUUUAAUUUUCCAGUUUUAGUACGAAAGGACCAGGCUGGUUUCAUAUAAUUG